UACGGAGGGCGAGAGCGUUGUUCGGAAUCACUGGGCGUAAAGCGCGUGUAGGCGGCCGAGCAAGUCGGAUGUGAAAUCCCGAGGCUCAACCUCGGAACUGCAUUCGAAACUGCUCGGCUCGAGUCCCGGAGAGGAUGGCGGAAUUCCCGGUGUAGGGGUGAAAUCCGUAGAUAUCGGGAGGAACACCAGUGGCGAAGGCGGCCAUCUGGACGGUGACUGACGCUGAGACGCGAAAGCGUGGGGAGCAAACAGG
rnacentral:rRNA from 1 species